rnacentral:rRNA from 1 species
CCUGGCUCAGGACGAACGCUGGCGGCGUGCCUAAUACAUGCAAGUCGAGCGGACAGAUGGGAGCUUGCUCCCUGAUGUUAGCGGCGGACGGGUGAGUAACACGUGGGUAACCUGCCUGUAAGACUGGGAUAACUCCGGGAAACCGGGGCUAAUACCGGAUGCUUGUUUGAACCGCAUGGUUCAAACAUAAAAGGUGGCUUCGGCUACCACUUACAGAUGGACCCGCGGCGCAUUAGCUAGUUGGUGAGGUAAUGGCUCACCAAGGCAACGAUGCGUAGCCGACCUGAGAGGGUGAUCGGCCACACUGGGACUGAGACACGGCCCAGACUCCUACGGGAGGCAGCAGUAGGGAAUCUUCCGCAAUGGACGAAAGUCUGACGGAGCAACGCCGCGUGAGUGAUGAAGGUUUUCGGAUCGUAAAGCUCUGUUGUUAGGGAAGAACAAGUGCCGUUCAAAUAGGGCGGCACCUUGACGGUACCUAACCAGAAAGCCACGC